rnacentral:sRNA from 1 species
AAUAUGAAAGAAAUUAACACUACAACAAAUAUGGACAUUAAUAGCAGACAAGAAUAGCUCAUUUACCGUACCUGAUAUAAAAGAUGUGAUUUUUUUCGGUUACUUUAUAAUAACACCUAAAAACGCUAUGAUAGAAAAAUUAUGGAGUGGGAAACAAAAGUGACUUAGUCCGCCAAUACUUAGUGAAUUAUUAUUUCAAUAAAAA